rnacentral:rRNA from 1 species
GAUGAACGCUGGCGGCGUGCCUAAUACAUGCAAGUCGAGCGAACGGACGAGAAGCUUGCUUCUCUGAUGUUAGCGGCGGACGGGUGAGUAAAACGUGGAUAACCUACCUAUAAGACUGGGAUAACUUCGGGAAACCGGAGCUAAUACCGGAUAAUAUUUUGAACCGCAUGGUUCAAAAGUGAAAGACGGUCUUGCUGUCACUUAUAGAUGGAUCCGCGCUGCAUUAGCUAGUUGGUAAGGUAACGGCUUACCAAGGCAACGAUGCGUAGCCGACCUGAGAGGGUGAUCGGCCACACUGGAACUGAGACACGGUCCAGACUCCUACGGGAGGCAGCAGUAGGGAAUCUUCCGCAAUGGGCGAAAGCCUGACGGAGCAACGCCGCGUGAGUGAUGAAGGUCUUCGGAUCGUAAAACUCUGUUAUUAGGGAAGAACAUAUGUGUAAGUAACUGUGCACAUCUUGACGGUACCUAAUCAGAAAGCCACGGCUAACUACGUG